CAUCCGACAUUAACAACCUCCCCCCCAACCCUCCCGAAAACGAGAUGAAUGACCCAACGACAAAGGAACACACAUUUUAAACGUUUACGUGUUUUUAAAAAUCAAAUCGUUCAAAGUUAGCCACACGCCCAAAACUAUUCAAUACAGCCAUCAGCCAAUUGGUUACGAAAAAAAAAACUAACGACCGACGAGUUUAAAAUCAUCGACAUUACGCAAUUAAACAGGUAAGACAACAGAGUACAUUUAAUCUUUUUUUAUUAUUUCAGAAAACCACGUUUUAUUUGAUUCAUCUGCUGCAAAGUAUGCGUUGGAGUGUGAUUUAAAUUUAUGAACUUUGUCAUUUAAACUUAAACUAUUAUAAUGCAAACACGAAAAAUGGUUUUUAAAAAAAUCGAAUUAAAUUCACCAAUUGUCAAACAUACUAGUUCAUAACUAGGAAAGGUUAGUUCGAUGGAGAAGACAUGAAAUAAUGAAUUAAAAAGGAUGCAUAACACGACAUUUCAUUUGUGACAAAUAUUUAAGUAAGAGUGAUUUUUGUAUGUUGUUAAAGUAUUUCAAAUUAUUUGUUUCCAACCAGUCCUGUUCUUAAUUAAUAAUUUUGUAUUCAAUAUUAGUGCUAUUGUUAAUCGUGGAAUUUUGAAAAGACAAGUUGAUUCUUUCUCUCUCUCUAAAAAAAAGUAAAUAUUAGUAAGUAUAAAUUAAUGUUUUUAUUACAAUAUUUAUAAUAAAUAUUACAUUAAAAAACAAGUGAAAAAAGGGUGUUUUGUAAGAUAGGUAAAUAAGUGACUGUUCCCAUAAAAAAUAUAUUAAAAGCUUAAAUUGUACCAAAAAUAGUGUGAAUUUUUCUUCUUCAGAAAAUGUUAGCAUAGUAUUUGUUAUCUCUCUUUAACCCACACGCAACACAGCAAAUUUCACAUUCAUUAUUAUGACCAUAACCAUAUUAAUUUCUCAAAUUAGAGUGAAAAUAGUGAAAUGACUUCUUAUAAAAUUUAAAAUUAAGAACAUUAUCUAGGGCAGCGCUUCUCAACUUAGUGCCACUAAUGUUCGCGGAAAGCUCAUAGAAGGUACUUGAAGAAAACUUCCUUUAUAAAAAAAAUUGGAUUGAAUCAUUAUUAACAUUAAAUAUUAUUUGGUUUAUUUGGUGGUGUGAAGGUCGUUUGUAAUCAUAAUAAUAAAUAAUAAUAACUGUACAUAUUUAA